rnacentral:rRNA from 1 species
CAGAGGUCUCAAGCGUUGUUCGGAUUCAUUGGGCGUAAAGGGUGCGUAGGCGGCGCGGUAAGUCGGGUGUGAAAUCUCGGAGCUUAACUCCGAAACUGCAUUCGAUACUGCCGUGCUUGAGGACUGGAGAGGAGACUGGAAUUUACGGUGUAGCGGUGAAAUGCGUAGAUAUCGUAAGGAAGACCAGUGGCGAAGGCGGGUCUCUGGACAGUUCCUGACGCUGAGGCACGAAGGCCAGGGGAGCAAACGGG